GUCGUAUAAAGAUGUAUUAGAUGCAAGACAAUCUAGCAUUUCCCUUUACGACAUUGUAAAAUAUUAGAAGUUCAAGCAAAAGUAAUUGUUGCAUGGUUAAUAAUCGAAACAAUUUGAGUUUGAACGGAAAAGGUUAACCAUAUGACCUUGUGUUGAAAAACACUAAAAAUGAUCUUAAAUAACAAUUUCUUAAUCUUUGUUAUUUUAAGUUAUGGUUUU
rnacentral:ncRNA from 1 species